rnacentral:rRNA from 1 species
GAUGAACGCUGGCGGCGUGCCUAAUACAUGCAAGUCGAGCGAACAGACGAGGAGCUUGCUCCUCUGACGUUAGCGGCGGACGGGUGAGUAACACGUGGAUAACCUACCUCUAAUACUGGGAUAACUUCGGGAAACCGGAGCUAAUACCGGAUAAUAUAUUGAACGGCAUGGUUCAAUAGUGAAAGACGGUUUUGCUGUCACUUAUAGAUGGAUCCGCGCCGCAUUAGCUAGUUGGUAAGGUAACGGCUUACCAAGGCAACGAUGCGUAGCCGACCUGAGAGGGUGAUCGGCCACACUGGAACUGAGACACGGUCCAGACUCCUACGGGAGGCAGCAGUAGGGAAUCUUCCGCAAUGGGCGAAAGCCUGACGGAGCAACGCCGCGUGAGUGAUGAAGGUCUUCGGAUCGUAAAGCUCUGUUAUUAGGGAAGAACAAAUGUGUAAGUAACUAUGCACGUCUUGACGGUACCUAAUCAGAAAGCCACGGCUAACUACGUG